rnacentral:rRNA from 1 species
GACGUAGGUGGCGAACGUUAUCCGGAAUUAUUGGGCGUAAAGGGUGCGUAGAUGGCUUGAUAAGUUAGCAGUGGGAAAUCGAGGCUCAACCUCGUGGAAGCUGGUAAUACUGUCAGGCUCGAGUGCAGGAGAGGUUAACGGAACUCCAUGUGGAGCGGUAAAAUCACAUAGAUAUAUGGAAGAACACCAAUAACGGCGAAAGCAGUUAACUAUUCUGUUACUGACAUUGAGGCACGAAAGCGUGGGGAGCAAAACGG